rnacentral:rRNA from 1 species
AUGUAAUGUAAUUUCUACAAUGUUAAUGCAUCAGAUCCCAUUAGAACUAUGCAAUUAAGUGUGCUUGGGCUCGAGUAGUACUGGGAUGGGUGACUUGUAGGGAAGUCCUAGUGUUUUACAUG